GACGAACGCUGGCGGCGUGCUUAACACAUGCAAGUCGAACGGAAAGGCCCUGCUUUUGUGGGGUGCUCCAGUGGCGAACGGGUGAGUAACACGUGAGUAACCUGCCCUUGACUUUGGGAUAACUUCAGGAAACUGGGGCUAAUACCGGAUAGGAGCUCCUGCUGCAUGGUGGGGGUUGGAAAGUUUCGGCGGUUGGGGAUGGACUCGCGGCUUAUCAGCUUGUUGGUGGGGUAGUGGCCUACCAAGGCUUUGACGGGUAGCCGGCCUGAGAGGGUGACCGGCCACAUUGGGACUGAGAUACGGCCCAGACUCCUACGGGAGGCAGCAGUGGGGAAUAUUGCACAAUGGGCGGAAGCCUGAUGCAGCAACGCCGCGUGCGGGAUGACGGCCUUCGGGUUGUAAACCGCUUUCGCCUGUGACGAAGCGUGAGUGACGGUAAUGGGUAAAGAAGCACCGGCUAACUACGUGCCAGCAGCCGCGGUGAUACGUAGGGUGCGAGCGUUGUCCGGAUUUAUUGGGCGUAAAGGGCUCGUAGGUGGUUGAUCGCGUCGGAAGUGUAAUCUUGGGGCUUAACCCUGAGCGUGCUUUCGAUACGGGUUGACUUGAGGAAGGUAGGGGAGAAUGGAAUUCCUGGUGGAGCGGUGGAAUGCGCAGAUAUCAGGAGGAACACCAGUGGCGAAGGCGGUUCUCUGGGCCUUUCCUGACGCUGAGGAGCGAAAGCGUGGGGAGCGAACAGGCUUAGAUACCCUGGUAGUCCACGCUGUAAACGGUGGGUACUAGGUGUGGGGUCCAUUCCACGGGUUCCGUGCCGUAGCUAACGCUUUAAGUACCCCGCCUGGGGAGUACGGCCGCAAGGCUAAAACUCAAAGGAAUUGACGGGGCCCCGCACAAGCGGCGGAGCAUGCGGAUUAAUUCGAUGCAACGCGUAGAACCUUACCUGGGUUUGACAUGGAUCGGGAGCGCUCAGAGAUGGGUGUGCCUCUUUUGGGGUCGGUUCACAGGUGGUGCAUGGCUGUCGUCAGCUCGUGUCGUGAGAUGUUGGGUUAAGUCCCGCAACGAGCGCAACCCUUGUUCACUGUUGCCAGCACGUUAUGGUGGGGACUCAGUGGAGACCGCCGGGGUCAACUCGGAGGAAGGUGGGGAUGACGUCAAGUCAUCAUGCCCCUUAUGUCCAGGGCUUCACGCAUGCUACAAUGGCUGGUACAGAGAGUGGCGAGCCUGUGAGGGUGAGCGAAUCUCGGAAAGCCGGUCUCAGUUCGGAUUGGGGUCUGCAACUCGACCUCAUGAAGUCGGAGUCGCUAGUAAUCGCAGAUCAGCAACGCUGCGGUGAAUACGUUCCCGGGGCU
rnacentral:rRNA from 1 species